rnacentral:rRNA from 1 species
AGCAGCCGCGGUAAUUCCAGCUCCAAUAGCGUAUAUUAAAGUUGUUGCAGUUAAAAAGCUCGUAGUUGAAUUUCGAGAUCAAAUUGUUGGUCGUGCCUCGGUACGUACUGGCAUUAUUGAUUUCUCCCUUCUGAAGAACCACGAUGUCAUUAAUUUGGUGUCGUGGGGAAUCAGGACUGUUACUUUGAAAAAAUUAGAGUGUUUAAAGCAGGCUCACGCUUGAAUACAUUAGCAUGGAAUAAUGAAAUAGGACGUUUGAUUCUAUUUUGUUGGUUUCUAGGAUCGACGUAAUGAUUAAUAGGGAUAGUUGGGGGCAUUAGUAUUCAAUUGUCAGAGGUGAAAUUCUUGGAUUUAUUGAAGACUAACUACUGCGAAAGCAUUUGCCAAGGAUGUUUUCAUUAAUCAAGAACGAAAGUUAGGGGAUCGAAGACGAUCAGAUACCGUCGUAGUCUUAACCAUAAACUAUGCCGACUAGGGAUCGGAUGAUGUUAAUUUUUAAUGA